rnacentral:rRNA from 1 species
AGUGAACGCUGGCGGUAGGCCUAACACAUGCAAGUCGAACGGCAGCACAGUAAGAGCUUGCUCUUACGGGUGGCGAGUGGCGGACGGGUGAGGAAUACAUCGGAAUCUACUUUUUCGUGGGGGAGAACGUAGGGAAACUUACGCUAAUACCGCAUACGACCUACGGGUGAAAGCAGGGGAUCUUCGGACCUUGCGCGAUUGAAGGAGCCGAUGUCGGAUUAGCUAGUUGGCGGGGUAAAGGCCCACCAAGGCGACGAUCCGUAGCUGGUCUGAGAGGAUGAUCAGCCACACUGGAACUGAGACACGGUCCAGACUCCUACGGGAGGCAGCAGUGGGGAAUAUUGGACAAUGGGCGCAAGCCUGAUCCAGCCAUACCGCGUGGGUGAAGAAGGCCUUCGGGUUGUAAAGCCCUUUUGUUGGGAAAGAAAAGCAGCAGGUUAAUACCCCGCUGUUCUGACGGUACCCACAGAAUAAGCACCGGCUAACUUCGUG